UACGUAGGGUGCAAGCGUUGUCCGGAAUUAUUGGGCGUAAAGAGCUCGUAGGCGGUCUGUCGCGUCGAAUGUGAAAAUCCGGGGCUCAACCCCGGACUUGCAGUGGGUACGGGCAGACUAGAGUGUGGUAGGGGAGACUGGAAUUCCUGGUGUAGCGGUGGAAUGCGCAGAUAUCAGGAGGAACACCGAUGGCGAAGGCAGGUCUCUGGGCCACUACUGACGCUGAGAAGCGAAAGCAUGGGGAGCGAACAGG
rnacentral:rRNA from 1 species